GAGCUGCGCUUUGAGCACAUAGCGAACUAUUCUUGCGCCUUUUACUAAAGAGUACCGUGUGCUCGUAGCAAUUCAAACAGCAUAUGCCUCUUUUUGGAAGGUUUUUCCUCAUUUGGAAAAA